rnacentral:rRNA from 2 species
UGGGGAAUCUUCCGCAAUGGACGAAAGUCUGACGGAGCAACGCCGCGUGAGUGAAGAAGGCCUUCGGGUCGUAAAGCUCUGUUAUUGGGGACGAACGGUUCGUAUGUAAAUAAUGUGCGAAAGUGACGGUACCCAAGGAGGAAGCCACGGCUAACUACGUGCCAGCAGCCGCGGUAAUACGUAGGUGGCGAGCGUUGUCCGGAAUUAUUGGGCGUAAAGAGCGUGUAGGUGGGAAGGUAAGUCUACUUUAAAAGUGCGGGGCUAAACCCCGUAAUGGGGUAGAAACUACUUUUCUUGAGUGCCGGAGAGGAAAGCGGAAUUCCCAGUGUAGCGGUGAAAUGCGUAGAUAUUGGGAGGAACACCAGUGGCGAAGGCGGCUUUCUGGACGGUGUCUGACACUGAGGCGCGAAAGCCAGGGGAGCGAACGGG